CGGCUCCGGGCGCCCACGCGGCCUCCCCCUGCCGAGGCCGGAACGCCCCUUCUCACGUGACCGCCGCUUCCGAGCCUCCCGGGCAAAGGUCCUGGGGGCGGGUCACGUGGCCAAGAGGCGCGGGUGCCUGGGGCAGCCGCCUGGAGACUCGCGGGCGCCGAGUGCGCGCGGGUCAAGCCAGGGGCGGAGUCAGGGCCCGUUACCUGGCCCCGGGCGUUGCCUUGGCGACAGUGUCAGUUACUGGCUGCUCCCCCUCCCCCCGGCGAUGAGGGCGGUGACUGGGGACCUCUCUCCUCUCCCCUCCCCCACAGAAGUGGCAGCCUCCUUAGGGGCUCCUGCAGGCAGUACUAAGCAGACGGGAAGCGCACUGAUGAGCGGCUCCGGGUGUCACAGACACGCCCCACCAGCUUCCGGUCCAGAAUUGACCUAUAGCUUCAUGGCUUAUCCGUGUAGGAAUGGCGUUGGGCUCAUCUUGGGCAGCACCUGUCUCCCUUGCAUCAGUGUCCCUUGUCAAAACAAUCCGAGUGCCUGGGACCCCUGCAACGAGCGUGUGCUGCAGACCUGCAGGAUCGGUUGACGCUACGCACGUCUCAUGCGGCGCCUCAUGGUCUCAGACACCAUCCGAUGGUCCAGGGACAUCUACAUCGAGCACAUCACCGGCCACCGACAGUACCAGGAGGCGUGAGCCAGUGUGACAUAGUUCUCCCACUACAAGAAAGGGACCAAGUGAUCACCUCCGUUGGAUCAUAUGAACUGGAACCAUAAACUCCCUGAACAUUAAAUCUCACCAAAUGAGAGUCAAUCCAUCCUCAUCAUCAUAUCCACUCAUUAUAAUCUACACCCGAACAUAGCCACUUUAUGAACUUCAUACCCUCAUAUCUCAAUGUCUAUACUUUGACCCAUCAACCUUUUACCCCCAAUCGGGGAUAUUGCAGAUUAUGUAUUCCUCAUGCCACCUUAUCUUAAACCAAACUUUGCACCCUCGAUAAUCUGUAUGUUAUUCCCUGAUAACCAGAAACUUCUAUGCUCAAACUCUGUUCAGUAUUUUUUUAACAUCAUCUUAAUAAAAUUUUUA